rnacentral:rRNA from 1 species
GAUGAACGCUGGCGGCGUGCCUAAUACAUGCAAGUCGAGCGAACAGACGAGGAGCUUGCUCCUCUGACGUUAGCGGCGGACGGGUGAGUAACACGUGGAUAACCUACCUAUAAGACUGGGAUAACUUCGGGAAACCGGAGCUAAUACCGGAUAAUAUAUUGAACCGCAUGGUUCAAUAGUGAAAGACGGUUUUGCUGUCACUUAUAGAUGGAUCCGCGCCGCAUUAGCUAGUUGGUAAGGUAACGGCUUACCAAGGCAACGAUGCGUAGCCGACCUGAGAGGGUGAACAGCCACACCAGAACUGAAACACGGUCCAGACUCCUACGGGAGGCAGCAGUAGGGAAUCUUCCGCGAUGGGCGGAAGCCUGGCGGAGCAACGCCGCGUGAGUGAUGAAGGUCUUCGGAUCGUAAAACUCUGUUAUUAGGGAAGAACAAAUGUGUAAGUAACUAUGCACGUCUUGACGGUACCUAAUCAGAAAGCCACGGCUAACUACGUG